GCGGAGAGGUCGCUGUCCUCCCGGGCGGGGCGCGCGGGGUCCGCCGCCCGGGGGCGCCCCCAGCGCGCGGACGGCGGGAUCCUGCAGCCUCUUCCAGGUCUGAACGCAGGGAGGGGUGAGGUAAGCUGUGAUGCCCCACGAGCCAGCCAGGGAGUGGAGGGGGAAGAGGAGGCUCCAGAACUAUCCUGAGCCAUAACCUCCCCUUCCGCCGGGGUGGGAUAGGAAGGGUGACCAGGAAGGGUGGGAAAUUUGGGGACUAUCCGAAGUCGGAACCACCCGUAACCCCUGACAUGUAAACGCUCCUGGGCUCUGGCUCCAACAACCCGCUCCAAGCUUGGGGGUGCCGCAUCCCCGGCCCAAUCAGGGCGGCCUUCCUGAAGGAGGAAGAGGGGAGCAGCAUUUUCCAGUUGCAGGCAGAGGCCGGAGCGCCAGCCGCGCGGACUCCUUUGUACCGCGGGAAUCUGUGGCUUUCCUGGAGGCGGGGGCUGAGCGGCCACCGGAGCGCUGCAGCGAGGGCGACGGCGGAGGCCGCGCGGGAGCCCAGGGCGCGCGGGGAAUCUUCACCUGCGGGCAGGAAAAAGCGCUCCGCGAGUUCCGCAGACCCCAACCCAGGCUGGAGGAUUACCCCGGCCUGUGCCUCAUAUUCCGAACAGGGAAGGUUGGCACAAAGUAGUCCCAGGAGCUGAGCGGGAAACUGAGGCAAUGUGCAUGCUGCUCCCAGCUUAGCCCCUGAAAUGAGCGGCGUACAGGCCUGAUGUUGACUGGGGAGGAGGGGCGGCUGCGAGAAGGAAGACAGGACAGUCCCUCCGUUUCUUCUUUAUACCCCGAAUCUUCAGUGCCUCCCAUUCCCGCAGUGAAAGGCUCAGGCGCGCGCUGAUCCUUUAAUUCCCGAGACUAGAUCUUGUUCGUUGUGAAUUGAAUUUAACGCCCCCCUCCCCGCGCCAUUCGGUCAAAAGGCACCUCUGCGCCCUCUGGCGGCCGCUGCUCCCUUACAGAAAGGCACGCACCUGUUCUUCCUUUUCUGUCCAACAGCCAAAAAAAAAAAAAAAAAAAAAAAAAAAGAAAAAGAAAAAGAUGCUUCAAACAUCCCAGCACAGCUCAACCACCCAGCAAAGACUGUUCUGGCCAAAGAGACUGGAGAUCCAGUAUCAGCAAGCAUUUAGCACUGAAUACUAUGAGAUUAUGGCUAAAAGAUGGUCAAGACUGCCUCAGCCUUUAGGAUCAGAAUUCUAAGUUCCAAAGAAGAGCAAACUCAGGAGGAUUUCCUCAGGCCUCUGCCUAUAGAUGCUGCCUGGGGAGAACAGGUGCCACACUCAAAACAUUCUCAAGAUAUUUAUAUUCUCCCUGAACUAGUACCCAACUCCAUAACCCCAGACUCAAAUAUUUAACAGAAAUAAAAGCCAUCUCAUUGAUUA